UACGUAGGGUGCAAGCGUUGUCCGGAAUUAUUGGGCGUAAAGAGCUCGUAGGCGGUCUGUCGCGUCGGCUGUGAAAUCCCGAGGCUCAACCUCGGGUCUGCAGUCGAUACGGGCAAACUGGAGUACUGCAGGGGAGACUGGAAUUCCUGGUGUAGCGGUGAAAUGCGCAGAUAUCAGGAGGAACACCGGUGGCGAAGGCGGCGAUCUGGGUCGAUACUGACGCUGAGGUGCGAAAGCGUGGGGAGCAAACAGG
rnacentral:rRNA from 1 species